rnacentral:rRNA from 1 species
AUUGAACGCUGGCGGCAGGCUUAACACAUGCAAGUCGAACGAGUGGCGGACGGGUGCGUAAUGCUUGGGAAUCUAGCUUAUGGAGGGGGAUAAAUACGGGAAACUGUAGCUAAUACCGCGUACCAUAGGAUGAGCCCAAGUUGGAUUAGGUCGUUGGUGAGGUAAAGGCUCACCAAGCCGACAAUCUCUAGCUGGUCUAGGAGGAUGACCAGCCACGCUGUGACUGAGACACGGCCCAGACUCCUCAGGGAGGCAGCAGUGGGGAAUAUUGCGCAAUGGGGGCAACCUGAUGCAGCCAUGCCGCGUGAAUGAAGAAGGCCUUCGGGUUGUAAAGUUCGUUCGGUAGCGAGGCGUUACCUACAGAAGACGCACCGGCUAACUCCGUGCCAGCAGCCGCGGUAAUUC